UACGUAGGCAGCGAGCGUUGUUCGGAGUUACUGGGCGUAAAGGGUGUGUAGGCGGUUGGUUAAGUUUGGUGUGAAAUCUCCCGGCUCAACUGGGAGGGUGCGCCGAAUACUGAAUGACUAGAGUGCGGGAGAGGAAAGUGGAAUUCCUGGUGUAGCGGUGAAAUGCGUAGAUAUCAGGAGGAACACCUAUGGCGAAGGCAGCUCUCUGGGACGGUACUGACGCUGAGACGCGAAAGCGUGGGGAGCGAACAGG
rnacentral:rRNA from 1 species